AAAGGAAAUCAAUUCAAGUUUCACAAUCAACGGAAAAUCCAGAACCCUUCGAAACCCAUUUUGCAAGAAAUACAACUAAAUAAGAUCCAAUGGGAUCCAGUUCUUAGCAGUCCCAGCCUAGUCAGAAGUACAAAGUCAAAUACCAUUUGCACAUCACCAAGAGGUACAAUCUGAUGAGUAACAGGAUAUCUGAUCUAAAAGCUUGCAAGGUUUCACAUGCUGUUUGAGUAUCACCAGGGCAGAUCAAGAAGAAAUAUGAAGGCCAGGUUCAUAACAAGCAGUAACUUCAUUGCAAUUACAGAUUUAAAUUAAAAAAAUGAAUGAAUUUAGAUAAAUGUGUCAAUACAUAUUGAAUGUUGCUUAAACUA